rnacentral:rRNA from 1 species
CCUGGCUCAGAUUGAACGCUGGCGGCAUGCUUUACACAUGCAAGUCGAACGGCAGCACGAAAGAGCUUGCUCUUUUGGUGGCGAGUGGCGAACGGGUGAGUAAUACAUUGGAACGUACCGAGUAAUGGGGGAUAACUGUCCGAAAGGAUGGCUAAUACCGCAUACGCUCUGAGGAGGAAAGCGGGGGACCUUCGGGCCUCGCGUUAUUCGAGCGGCCAAUGUCUGAUUAGCUAGUUGGUGGGGUAAAGGCCUACCAAGGCGACGAUCAGUAGUGGGUCUGAGAGGAUGAUCCGCCACACUGGGACUGAGACACGGCCCAGACUCCUACGGGAGGCAGCAGUGGGGAAUUUUGGACAAUGGGCGAAAGCCUGAUCCAGCCAUGCCGCGUGUCUGAAGAAGGCCUUCGGGUUGUAAAGGACUUUUGUCAGGGAAGAAAGGGUUUGGGUUAAUACCCUGAGCUUAUGACGGUACC